AGUGGAGUGACUUGGCCCCAGCCUGCUUUGCUCCCCGGCUUGGGGGGAGGCCCCGGCAGCGUGGGUUGGAGGCAGGGGACCAGAGCAGGCUGGGACCAGGUCGCUCUACUUACUGAGCAUGUCAUUUCCUGUUACACACCAAGCAACUGCAUUGGUUCCUUAAAAGGAUAAGGAUAAGAAGCAGACAGUGGACUGAACCAGCUGUGACAGAAUGGCUUUUUUACUAACAGCAGCCAUGGUUUUCCAGACUUUACUGGGAAAUGCUGCUGGAGAAGGAUGGGAAUCAUAUAACAAUUUUUCCAUUUGGAACUACACAUUUUAUUUAUACGACAAUUACACAGAUGAUUAUCCUCCAGAAAACUCCACAGAUUAUUAUUAUCCAGAAUACCCCACAGAUUAUCCUCCAGAAUACCGCACAGAUUAUUAUAGUGAAUUCGAAACGUCACUUGGAAAGGAUUUGACAAAGUCUGCAGGAUCAUCACUGCAGGGCCAUCUUCCCUUCUUAUUUGUCCUCCUCCAUCUUCUAUGUUUUUUGCUACAACAAUUCACACAUCUUUUGUAGAAGAUGUGAACAGCUUUGCUUUGAAUUAGAACAUUCCUCAAGGAGGAAAACAAAGAACUCUGCCACACUUGUAAAUUACUUCCCCUACAGCAGGGGUCGGCAACAUUUGGCACGCGGCUUGCCAGGGUAAGCACCCUAGCGGGCCGGGC